rnacentral:rRNA from 1 species
UACGGGGGGGCAAGCGUUGUUCGGAAUUACUGGGCGUAAAGGGCGCGUAGGCGGCCUGCUAAGUCGGAUGUGAAAUCCCUCGGCUCAACCGAGGAACUGCAUCCGAUACUGGCGGGCUUGAAUCCGGGAGAGGGAUGUGGAAUUCCAGGUGUAGCGGUGAAAUGCGUAGAUAUCUGGAGGAACACCUGUGGUGUAGACAGCUUACUGGACCAUAACUGACGCUGAGGCACGAAAGCGUGGGUAGCAAACAGG